ACUUGAUUAAAAUCAUAACGGUGGAGACAGAAGUUGUAAAAUGCUAAAUCCAGUAUGGUCACUGAACAAUGAAGAUCUACAGGCGUUGAAGAACAAAUGUAUGCCCUUGCAAAGGAGGUGAGGAAACAAACACAAUGAUUCUAAACAGUUAAGGAGAAAGGAAUACGGUAUAAUGUAAAAGAUACAGCUGUUUGUGGGAAUAAAUGUAAUAGACUUAUUCAAUGAAGUCAUU